GGAUGUGAGGGCAAUCUGGCUGUGGCAUCUGUCACCCCAUUGAUCGCCAGGGUUGAUUCGGCUGAUCUGGCUGGCUAGGCAGGUGUCCCCUUCCUCCCUCGUGGAUCUAUGUCCAUCCCUCCCAAAGCUGCGUGCUUGGUCAGAGAGGACGACCUUCCUGACUAGAGGAGGACCAGUCUUCAGUCAAGGGCAUAUGAGUAGCUGUGCUCCCCUGCUAGAACCUCCAAGCAAGGUGUUACUUGGGGGCUGGCUCUGUGGCACAGCAGGUUAGGCUACCACUUGCAAUGCCAGCAUCCCAUAUUGGAGGGCUUCACUU
rnacentral:snRNA from 1 species